CCAUGCGUUUCUGUUGAAAAAGAAGCAGAAGAAGAAAAAGAAGAAAAGUUGACCCAUGUGAAGAUGAGUUGACCGCAGAGGCAGUUUUGAGUGACCAUCAUGUAGACAGUGUUGGAUGGAAGUGGACAAUAUCUCGGAGGAAAACUGACCACUCUUUCUGAUCAAUUUGAUACAGAUAGUGACCAGCAAGGUGAUUUGGUGAAGAUUUGACUACGAAUUUUGUGUGCUAUGGAGAACUUGACCAACAAAUUCAGCCGUGCUGAUGUUCGCUACCAGUCGUUCCGCAGCUCAACAAGGCGUCAGACAGAUAAUGUGAGACCUUGUUAUGGAACAUUGCCCCGGAAACCACUAAUUAAUUCAGGCAGCAAUCGAGAAGUGAUAAAUCAGUGCUACGGAACACUACCUAGACAACAACCAAUAAAUAAUAAUAAUAAUAAUUCAGGAAGACAGCAGGGUAAAAUAAAAUCAUAUCCAAAGAUACCACCAGAAUGGAUGAAUUCUGCUGUUCAAACUGGCCAAGAAGAGGGUGAAGGUCACAUGA